UACGUAGGGUGCAAGCGUUGUCCGGAAUUAUUGGGCGUAAAGAGCUCGUAGGCGGCUUGUCGCGUCGGAUGUGAAAACCUGGGGCUCAACCCCGGGCCUGCAGCCGAUACGGGCAAGCUAGAAUUCGGUAGGGGAGACUGGAAUUCCUGGUGUAGCGGUGAAAUGCGCAGAUAUCAGGAGGAACACCGGUGGCGAAGGCGGGUCUCUGGGCCGAUAUUGACGCUGAGGAGCGAAAGCGUGGGGAGCGAACAGG
rnacentral:rRNA from 1 species